rnacentral:sRNA from 1 species
CUUUCCGUCAUGGCGCUGAAAGUAGCGACCGUCGCCGGCAGCGCCGCGAAGGCGGUGCUCAGGCCAGCCCUUCUCUGCCGUCCCUGGGAGGUUCUAGGUGCCCACGAGGUCCCCUCGAGGAACAUCUUUGCAGAACAAACAAUUCCUCCGUCCGCUAAGUAUGGCGGGCGGCACACGGUGACCAUGAUCCCAGGGGAUGGCAUCGGGCCAGAGCUCAUGCUGCAUGUCAAGUCCGUCUUCAGGCACGCAUGUGUACCAGUGGACUUUGAAGAGGUGCACGUGAGUUCCAAUGCUGAUGAAGAGGACAUUCGCAAUGCCAUCAUGGCCAUCCGCCGGAACCGCGUGGCCCUGAAGGGCAACAUCGAAACCAACCAUAACCUGCCACCGUCGCACAAAUCUCGAAACAACAUCCUUCGCACCAGCCUGGACCUCUAUGCCAACGUCAUCCACUGUAAGAGCCUUCCAGGCGUGGUGACCCGGCACAAGGACAUAGACAUCCUCAUUGUCCGGGAGAACACAGAGGGCGAGUACAGCAGCCUGGAGCAUGAGAGUGUGGCGGGAGUGGUGGAGAGCCUGAAGAUCAUCACCAAGGCCAAGUCCCUGCGCAUUGCCGAGUAUGCCUUCAAGCUGGCGCAGGAGAGCGGGCGCAAGAAAGUGACGGCCGUGCACAAGGCCAACAUCAUGUAUGUCCCCUGACCUCUCUGUGAGCAGUCCAGAAGCAGCUGCAGUGGCCUGCUUGGGCCUGCUCUGAGGGAU